UACGUAGGGUGCAAGCGUUGUCCGGAAUUACUGGGCGUAAAGAGUUCGUAGGCGGUCUGUCGCGUCGUUUGUGAAAACCAGCAGCUCAACUGCUGGCUUGCAGGCGAUACGGGCAGACUUGAGUACUGCAGGGGAGACUGGAAUUCCUGGUGUAGCGGUGAAAUGCGCAGAUAUCAGGAGGAACACCGGUGGCGAAGGCGGGUCUCUGGGCAGUAACUGACGCUGAGGAACGAAAGCGUGGGUAGCGAACAGGA
rnacentral:rRNA from 1 species